UCCAACACCCUCCUGAAGUUUGACAUUGAGAGUAUAAUGUGUUUUGUAAAAUCUGAGAAAUGAAGGAAUAUAUAAGAGAUGGUGUGAGAUGAGUGGUGUUGAUGGUGUAGUUUUAUAGAGGGAUUCAGAAGAUAGAGAUGACACGUGACACAAUUUUAGAGGGUGAAAAUCUUAUCUGAAAUCUGAGAUCACUAUUUGUAAAAAAAUAUCUGAAAAUCUUAUCAGACAUGGGACACGUGGCACAAUUUUAGAGGGUGAAAAUCUUAUCUGAAAUAUGAGAUUAUAAUUUUUUAAAAAUAUCUGAAAAUCUUAUUUGACAUGGGACACAUGGCACAAUUUUAGAGGGUGAAAAUUUUAUCGGAAAUCUGAGAUUAUAAUUUUUAUUAAUGAAUAUCCGAAAAUUUUAUCUGGAAUAAAACACGUGGCAACCGAGAUUCUCAUCCGAAAAUCUUAUCCGAAAAUUUAAUUACAAAAGAUUAUCAAAAUUAAUGAUUUAAAGUAUAAAAAAAUAAAAAAUAAAGUACAAUGAAUAGUAAUUGCCCUAGACUUUACCCUCAUGGGUGGAACCACAAAUGGAAAGGCUGACACUAUUCACGUAAAUAGUGGCAGCCCUUGUUUGCCCUUGCCUUAGACUUUGCCCUCAUGGGUGGAGUUGCUCUUAUGAAAACAGAUCACAAGGCAUAAAGUGAAGCGUUUUAUACACUGUCAAGUACGGCGUAAGCCUCACCACGUUGAGGUGUAAGAAUUCUGUUCUGUCUUGAUGACCUUGACUGCGCCUCGCUACGCCUUUUCGGUGAAAUGUUCCGUGUGGCAUGUGGAAGCCGCCUCGUCGCAGAAAGGCGUACAUUUUUCGGUGAAAUUCUCUGGUGGCAUGUGUAAGCCACCCUCCCAGAAAGGCUCGCCUCAUGAGCGCUGUACACUGGUUGGAGUUUUUUGGCGCUUGAGAGGGCAGAUAUGCUAGUUUGGCUGGCUUGUUCAACAAUAUACAAAUUUUAAAACUAUCUGUGGAUCUCCAAUUCAGUUUUCAUUUUACAAAUGUACAAAUCUAGAACCAAUCGACAAGCUAAAGCUGAAGUUACAAAACACGAUAACAAAAAAAUCACCAUCCUGCGACCAACUAGUUCUUAAUCCACUCGUAUUUCUUCUUUGAAUCUACGUUAAGUUUCAAGUUGAAAUCCAUCCCAUAUUGAUUAAAGAAAAACCCCCCAUCUUUGCAUAACACUUCAUGCCCAUCCAUCUACCUCCGACAGACUGGCACACAAUCUCAAAGAACAGAGUCACGACUAGGGUGUAAUUACUUUGUUGUACAUUACUUGGAAAAUAAUUUAUAUUACCUACACUUCAGAUAGAAAAAACACCACUACAAGUUCUCAUUCAAAUAUCAUGUCGUCACUCAAUUCCUUAUGUGUUGGGAGAUUUAGCAUGAUCACAGCUUUUGCAUGAACCUUAGCUUAAUCACUUGUUAACUCCACUCGUACAUGAAUCUCCUUGGGACAAAUUUUGUUGUUUUGGACCGAAUAUUGGUUUGGUGCACAAUAUGAGUAUUAACACCCGUAACGAUAAAAGUAUUUGUAUCAUCUCAACUCGAUCGCUAUCUAAUGUGCCAUUUGUCUAACAGAGAAUGAUCUCGAUUAAAGAAAUGAUACAUUAGAUGGUCAGCAGAAAUAGUACAAAAUAGCAACAUUCAGUCCGUAGGUUUGCAUAUUUAACACAUCACUACAAUAUAACAAACUUUCCUUAACAAAUUCAUAAGCACCAAAGACGUGAACAAAACAAUGCUUCUAAACUAACUUGAGUAGUAGUAGUAUAAACAAGGCCGGAACUAAAAUACCUAGAAAAUGCAAACUUGAAAUCCAGAUUGCACUUGAGAAUAUCUACAAGCAAACAUCUUAGGUAUAAGAUAGUCCCAUUCUUCACCAGCAUUCCAAAGGGAGCCAUGGAGACAUCUAUGGUGUUGACGCGUGCUAGCUUAACAUUUUUAAUGGUUUGGAUUUUCUGUAUAUCAUCUACAGCAUGUUCCGAAACGUACAAGCCUCUAAGGACAGACCCGAAAGCUAUGAAGGAGAGGUACGAAAGGUGGCUGCAAAAAUAUGGCCGGAUAUAUAAAAAUAGAGAGGAAGCGGCAUACCGUUUUGGGGUUUACAAAUCCAACAUCGAGUUUGUUGAUUUCGUAAAUUCUCAAAAUCUAUCAUACAAACUCACUGACAACAAAUUUGCAGAUAUCACAAACUUAGAGUUUACAAAAACCUUCAUGGGUUUCCAAACUAGGAGUCAUCCAAAAACGAAGUUCAGUUAUGACAAGGAUGAGGAACUUCCGACUGCAGUGGAUUGGAGAAAGCAUGGUGCAGUAACUCCAAUCAAGAAUCAAGGCCAAUGUGGUAUAAAUUGAAAUAGGCAUUCAAAAAAUGGAUGCUCAUUAUUUUUCUCUCCUUUAUUGCGCUCCUGAACUAGAUGUUUGCUAUGGUUUUUUUAAUUCAGUUUUGACUUAUAAUAAUUUUCCACUAGAAGAUGGAUUAGUUAUUAUAUGCUACAUGUGGAAAUAUGAUUUCUUGAUUUUAGACACAUCCCUGAGCUUUCUUCACACAACCAAAAAGACAGGGUAAAUAUGUACUUUUCUAGAUUUAGGUUCAAACUUAUUUAGAAUUACUCAACCAUGAAAAUGUAUAUUCUAUCACAUUCCAAGUAAACACCAAGACGCCCAAGCCUUAAAUUCAAUUUUGGCUUUAUGAUAUACACACAAUUAUUAAAAAUUGGGUUUGUAGGUAUUACUUACAUGUCCUUGUUGUUCCGCUUGCUGAAUAGGAAAUAUUGCAGAUUAAGUAGCAACCUCUCAUAGUAUUACACUUUCAAUACACAGGAAGUUGUUGGGCAUUUUCUGCAGUAGCAGCUGUGGAAGGCAUUAACCAAAUCAAAACUGGAAAAUUGGUGUCACUAUCAGAACAAGAGCUUGUGGACUGCGAUGUCAAAACUGGGAAUGAAGGCUGCAAUGGUGGAUACAUGGAAAAAGCGUUUAGUUUCAUAAAAGAUAACGGACUCUCCACUGAAAAGGAUUAUCCUUACAAAGGAUCAGAUGGCAUAUGUGAUGAAGAUAGUUUGAAAAACAGUGCUGUGAACAUAAGUGGCUAUGAAAGCAUACCUGCCAAUAGUGAGAAAAGCCUCCAAGCAGCAGUUGCACACCAACCUGUCUCUGUUGCAGUUGACGCUGCCGGUUAUGCUUUUCAAUUCUAUUCUUCAGGUACCUUCACUGGCCAAUGUGGAAAGAAUCUCAACCACGGGGUCA
rnacentral:lncRNA from 1 species